rnacentral:rRNA from 1 species
UACGGAGGGUGCAAGCGUUGUUCGGAAUUACUGGGCGUAAAGGGCGCGUAGGCGGUCUUUUAAGUUAGGCGUGAAAGCCCCAGGCUCAACCUGGGAACUGCGCUUAAUACUGAAGGACUUGAGUGCGAGAGGGGAAAGUGGAAUUCCUAGUGUAGAGGUGAAAUUCGUAGAUAUUAGGAAGAACACCGGUGGCGAAGGCGACUUUCUGGCUCGCAACUGACGCUGAGGCGCGAAAGCGUGGGGAGCAAACAGG